AGAUUGAACGCUGGCGGCAUGCCUAACACAUGCAAGUCGAACGGGAGUAGCAAUACUCUAGUGGCGGACGGGUGAGGAAUACGUAGGAAUUUGCCCUUAAGUGGGGGAUAACCCGGGGAAACCCGGAUUAAUACCGCAUGACCUCGAAAGAGCAAAGUGGGGGAUCGCAAGACCUCACGCUUUUGGAGAAGCCUACGUCGGAUUAGCUAGUUGGUGAGGUAAUGGCUCACCAAGGCGACGAUCCGUAACUGGUCUGAGAGGAUGAUCAGUCACACCGGAACUGAGACACGGUCCGGACUCCUACGGGAGGCAGCAGGUGGGGGAAUUAGUUGGACAAGUGGGCGCAAGCCUGAUCCAGCAAUGCCGCGUGUGUGAAG
rnacentral:rRNA from 1 species